rnacentral:rRNA from 1 species
UACGGAGGGGGCUAGCGUUGUUCGGAAUUACUGGGCGUAAAGGGCGCGCAGGCGGCUGCUCAAGUCAGGCGUGAAAGGCCUGGGCUCAACCCGGGAAUUGCGCUUGAGACUGGGCUGGCUUGAGUGCGGGAGAGGAUGGUGGAAUUCCCAGUGUAGAGGUGAAAUUCGUAGAUAUUGGGAAGAACACCGGUGGCGAAGGCGGCCAUCUGGACCGCAACUGACGCUGAGGCGCGAAAGCGUGGGGAGCAAACAGGAUUAGAAACCCCCGUAGUCC